rnacentral:rRNA from 1 species
UGGGGAAUAUUGGACAAUGGGGGCAACCCUGAUCCAGCAAUGCCGCGUGUGUGAAGAAGGCCUGAGGGUUGUAAAGCACUUUCGGUGGGGAGGAGGUUACUUAGGUUAAGAGCUAGAGUAAUGGACGUUACCCACAUAAGAAGCACCGGCUAACUCCGUGCCAGCAGCCGCGGUAAUACGGAGGGUGCGAGCGUUAAUCGGAAUUACUGGGCGUAAAGGGUGCGUAGGUGGUUUAAUAAGAUAUCUGUGAAAUCCCUGGGCUCAACCUGGGCAGGUCAGAUGUGACUGUUAGACUAGAGUAUAGGAGAGGGUAGUGGAAUUUCCGGUGUAGCGGUGAAAUGCGUAGAGAUCGGAAGGAACACCGGUGGCGAAGGCGGCUACCUGGCCUAAUACUGACACU